AUUCAUGGAAGCAGAUGCCAAUGGUGAUGGCAAAAUUGAUGAGGAAGAAUGGAAAGAAUUUGUCACAAAGAAUCCAUCAGUGCUAAAGAACAUGACUGUUCCUCAAUUAAUGUGCAUAGAUCCUAGGAUGUCACUCUAGCUUUUCCCAGCUUUGUACUGAACUCUUAAGCAGAAGAAUCACAAUUAUAACCUACAUGCUAAGACAUUGAAGCCACCUCUUGGCUUGUUCUCCUCAUGUUGGGAGUAUGCAAAAUUGUUUAACCUUGGUUUCUUGAUUGUCGCACCAUGGUUCCGGUGAGGUGAUCUCCUGGUAAACAUAAUCUCCAAAGAGGAAACUUGGCGCCUAACAAGAUAUGAGCAAUAUAUUUGGGGUGGAAAUCUGCUACAUUUCUUGGUACCAUUUAUGCUAUAAAACAAUAAAAGUCCAGCUAAUGAAACUGCUGCAGACUUUUACAGGUUUUAUCCAAAUCAGUCCCAUGUAACAUGCUAACUCUCAAUUCCAAGUGCUCUUAGUAUGGAUGUUUUCAUAAGAAUCAGAAAAUAAAUGUGUCCAUAAGCUGCAGGUUAGGAACAGUACCAGGUCUUGAAGCUUCCUUUCAUGAUCAUAUUCAGUUCUUGUAUUUAUAUAUCAUAUAGCUAGUACUUUCAAUGUAUUCUACUGAAAACACGCACAAACUUACCAGAGACAGCAAUGCGAUGAUUUCAUUUGCCUUUCACAAA